CGCGGUGUUUCCUCCUGUGCUCUCACAUCUGCAUCUGGGGAUGUCUCCCCAGCUGUGUGACACGUCAGCUGUUGGGAAGUUUGAUAACACCGUGGAGCUGCCUCUCACCCUCUUCUGCUUCUGAGGAGAAAAACCUGACAUUCCUGAAAAUGGCAGCUGAGACAUCCACAGAAGUUGCAGAAACAGCUAAACAAUUCGUCCUUAAGGAAGAGGUAAUUGUAGAAAGACAAUGGUUGAAGCUUGCAGAAACAACUUACACUGAUCCCUUUGGGAAAACCAGAACUUGGGAAACUGUAAAGCGUACUGGCAACAAAAAGGGAGUUACAGCUGAUGGUGUAGCAGUGAUAGCAGUGCUGCAGAGAACCCUGCACUACGACUGCAUUGUUCUGGUGAAACAGUUCAGGCCCCCAAUCAAUGGCUACUGCUUGGAAUUUCCUGCAGGCCUCAUUGAGGAAAACGAGUCAGCAGAAAGUGCUGCACUUCGAGAGCUGAAGGAAGAGACUGGGUACAAGGGCGAAGUCAUUGAAUGUACUCCAGCUCUGUGCUUGGACCCAGGAAUGUCAAACAGCACAACACACAUCGUGAGCGUCAUCAUUAAUGGAGAUGAGGCUGAGAACACAAGACCUAAGCAAAACCUUGGUGAGUUUUGUACCAUUUAUUUGAAAAUACUGAGAAGAUAACAAAAUAAUGGGUUUAAAAAAAUUAACCCCACUGUGAUAUUGUCCACAAGGGUCUCAGGAUGAGGGAAGAGACGAGAAAGUUGACUCCAUGUAUCAGAAAGCUUGAUUUAUUAUUUUAUGAUAGAUAAUAUAUUAAAACUAUACUAAAAGAACAGAAGAAGGGAUUUCAUCAGAAGGCUAAGCUAAGAAUAGAACAGGAAGGAAUAACAAAGGCUUGUCUCUGACCGAGACAGUCUGCACAGGUGAUCUGUGAUUGGCCAUUAAUUAAAAACAACCAGAUGAGACCAAUCACAGAUUCUCCCUGUUGCAUUCCACAGCAGCAGAUAAGAUUUGUUUACAGUUUGUUCCUGAGGCCUCUCAGCUUCUCAGGAGGGAAAAAUCCUAAGGAAAGGAUUUUUCAAAAAACAUGUCGGUGACACCCCACCACUUCAUCUCCUGUCCUAGCUGAUUUGGAUACUGCGCAUCCGUCCAAUCACAUCCUGCAAUCUAGAUGAGUGUGUCUCUGCUGAAUCCACUGGGGAAGCCCAGAUGUGAAGUGUCAGCUGUUGGCACACUCAGAAUAAAACAUUUCAGUGCCAAAUUUCAGUGAGGGCCAUAAGCACUUGUGAACCUAGAUUACUGCUCUCAGUUGAAGUUUUACUCUGGAAAUAAUUGCAGUGUCACUCACAGUCAGUUAGCCAUCAAAUACGUUUUAAUUGUAAACUCUGGUGUAUUUCAACCCCUUAUCUCACUACGCUUUUCACUUGCAGAUGAUGGAGGUACGUAACGUGACUGUGAUCUCAUUGACAAUAAGGUCAUGAUUCUUCGUAUGGCAAGUUUUACUUAGAAAAAGUCAGUUACAACUGGUUUUUAUUUGUGCUUGAGUAAUCUGCCGACCUUAAUCAAAUGUGCCUGAGGUUGACUUUGGCCUAGAUGCAAAUUCCUGUGGGGCAUUAUUGCGUCAAUUAUCUUUCCCAGUAUUGCACCUAUAGCACCAGUAUUUCAGGAAAUUCAAAUUACUGCCCCCACAACAGCUGUAGGUCAAGCCCUGAAGACAAGUAAUUCAGAGACACAGGGGAGGGGUAAGCCAGCAUAAAUUCACCAUUAACAAACCCUUUGAGAUGGUUUGGUCUAGAAAUCCAUCUCCAGUCCAUUCCUGUACCAGGAGAAGCCAAACAAGUUUUCUUCAACAGUGUAUUUUUCAUUCUCAAAAGGGAGGUUUCUCUUUUGGGCAUUCUUAUCCUUCAUAGCUACCAGCUACACUUUUUUCCCAACUGUUUUUCCAGCCUUUUUCUGCCAAACAUGUUUUUUAGUGACCCAGUCACUGCCCUUCCCUAUUUAAUUGACCUUUUUUGGAUAUAUGAAAGCUCACAACUUUUGGAUGGUGUUGGGCAUUAAAUCAGUCUCUUUCCCCUUCUAAUUUGCAAGAAACAGAAGAUGGACUUAGAUUUCUCUACUGUUCACUAAUUGAAGGAUGUGUAAACCUUUUUCUUCUCUCCUAGAAUUUGUGGAAGUUGUUUCACUUCCAAAGAAUGAUCUACUGCAAAGAAUUGAUGAACUGGUAGCAGAGGAACAUCUGGCAGUAGAUGCCAGGGUUUACACUUACGCGUUGGCUCUGAAGCGCGCAGCAGAAAAACCGCUCCAAGUUCCUUUCAUGAAGUUCUAGAACUGGACAAUGAGAAAUUUAAUUCAAAACUGCCCAAGCUGGAUGGCUUAGAAGUACAGCUCUUCUUGUAAUCAAGGUCAUUUGCUUUACUUGUAGAGCAAAAAAAUUGUUUGUAGUAAUGAUUCUGGUAUUAUUAUUUUGAAUUAUGUAACUGACAAAAAAAACAUUUCUUCUAACUCCUCUGUCAAGCCUUGACAGAAUAUCCAUAAUAAAAAUACUGUUUAAUUUUCAGAA